CCACGGGAGGCAGCAGUGGGGAAUCUUGCGCAAUGGGCGAAAGCCUGACGCAGCCAUGCCGCGUGAAUGAUGAAGGUCUUAGGAUUGUAAAAUUCUUUCACCGGGGACGAUAAUGACGGUACCCGGAGAAGAAGCCCCGGCUAACUUCGUGCCAGCAGCCGCGGUAAUACGAAGGGGGCUAGCGUUGCUCGGAAUUACUGGGCGUAAAGGGAGCGUAGGCGGAUAGUUUAGUCAGAGGUGAAAGCCCAGGGCUCAACCUUGGAAUUGCCUUUGAUACUGGCUAUCUUGAGUACGGAAGAGGUAUGUGGAACUCCGAGUGUAGAGGUGAAAUUCGUAGAUAUUCGGAAGAACACCAGUGGCGAAGGCGACAUACUGGUCCGUUACUGACGCUGAGGCUCGAAAGCGUGGGGAGCAAACAGGAUUAGAUACCCUGGUAGUCCACGCUGUAAACGAUGAGUGCUAGUUGUCGGCAUGCAUGCAUGUCGGUGACGCAGCUAACGCAUUAAGCACUCCGCCUGGGGAGUACGGUCGCAAGNUUAAAACUCAAAGAUAGUACGCGNGNGAGAGCGACGACGACGACGAGGAGGAG
rnacentral:rRNA from 1 species